GACGAACGCUGGCGGCGUGCCUAAUACAUGCAAGUGGGACGCAAGGAAACACACUGUGCUUGCACACCGUGUUUUCUUGAGUCGCGAACGGGUGAGUAACGCGUAGGUAACCUGCCUAUUAGCGGGGGAUAACUAUUGGAAACGAUAGCUAAUACCGCAUAAUAUUAAUUAUUGCAUGAUAAUUGAUUGAAAGAUGCAAGCGCAUCACUAGUAGAUGGACCUGCGUUGUAUUAGCUAGUUGGUAAGGUAAGAGCUUACCAAGGCGACGAUACAUAGCCGACCUGAGAGGGUGAUCGGCCACACUGGGACUGGGACACGGCCCAGACUCCUACGGGGAGCAGCAGUAGGGAAUCUUCGGCAAUGGACGAAAGUCGGACCGAGCAACGCCGCGUGAGUGAAGAAGGUUUUCGGAUCGUAAAGCUCUGUUGUAAGUCAAGAACGUGUGUGAGAGUGGAAAGUUCACACAGUGACGGUAGCUUACCAGAAAGGGACGGCUAACUACGUG
rnacentral:rRNA from 1 species